AUUUGGUGCCCUUGUUCCUGGUGGGUAACAUCCAAGAUCUGUGUCAUCCAUUACAAUGGCCGCUAAUCUCACAUGAGGACGUUGGAGUGCCUGAAAAUCGGGCUGGUCGGAAGUGAGAUGCACUGAUGGUACGUUGAUGGAGAUGAAGAAGAAAAAAGCACAAUAGGAAAAUGUGGAGCCAGGAGUGGUGAAGAAUCACACAGACCUACUUACAACUUCUGACUCUGACACCUUCCAACUUGGGCAAGCCAUUUUACCUCCUUGGGUCUCAGCCACUUUCUUUGUAAAAUGAGGGUAAUGGCACUUAGGGGAUUAUUAAAACGAUUACAUGAGAUAAUACGUGUGCCUAGAAGAUAGUAGCGAAUGUGAAGGAACAUCCUAAUUAUGUAUUGAGGAGGGUACUGCCUUGGAUAAAGGGUCAUCGAAAGCCAGACAGAAUACACCCAGCUAUCUUUGGUACCACAGUCUUCUUCAGGGUGCUCUUGUCCAUCCACAGUGCAU
rnacentral:lncRNA from 1 species